AUUGAACGCUGGCGGCAGGCCUAACACAUGCAAGUCGAACGGUAACAGGAAACAGCUUGCUGUUUCGCUGACGAGUGGCGGACGGGUGAGUAAUGUCUGGGAAACUGCCUGAUGGAGGGGGAUAACUACUGGAAACGGUAGCUAAUACCGCAUAACGUCGCAAGACCUAAGUGGGGGACUCUUGGGCCUCUUGCCAUCGGAUGUGCCUAGAUGGGAUUAGCUUGUUGGUGGGGUAACGGCUCCCCAAGGCGACGAUCCGUAGCUGGUCUGAGAAGAUGACCAGCCACACUGGAACUUAGAAACGGUCCAGACUCCUACGGGAGGCAGCAUUGGGAAAUAGUGCACAAUGGGCGCAAGCCUGAUGCAGCCAUGCCGCGUGUAUGAAGAAGGCCUUCGGGUUGUAAAGUACUUUCAGCGGGGAGGAAGGGAGUAAAGUUAAUACCUUUGCUCAUUGACGUUACCCGCAGAAGAAGCACCGGCUAACUCCGUG
rnacentral:rRNA from 1 species